UACGUAGGGUGCGAGCGUUGUCCGGAAUUAUUGGGCGUAAAGAGCUUGUAGGCGGUUUGUCGCGUCUGCUGUGAAAAUCCGGGGCUCAACCCCGGACUUGCAGUGGGUACGGGCAGACUAGAGUGUGGUAGGGGAGACUGGAAUUCCUGGUGUAGCGGUGAAAUGCGCAGAUAUCAGGAAGAACACCAAUGGCGAAGGCAGCUCUCUGGGACGGUACUGACACUGAGAGACGAAAGCUAGGGGAGCGAAUGGG
rnacentral:rRNA from 1 species